UACGUAGGCAGCGAGCGUUGUUCGGAGUUACUGGGCGUAAAGGGUGUGUAGGCGGUUGUUUAAGUUUGGUGUGAAAUCUCCCGGCUCAACUGGGAGGGUGCGCCGAAUACUGAAUGACUAGAGUGCGGGAGAGGAAAGUGGAAUUCCUGGUGUAGCGGUGAAAUGCGUAGAUAUCGAUAGGAACUCCGGUGGCGAAGGCGGCAUACUGGACCACUUCUGACGCUGAGGCGCGAAAGCCAGGGGAGCAAACGGG
rnacentral:rRNA from 1 species